rnacentral:miRNA from 1 species
UAUGUGAACAUGCACAUGUGUGG